UACACUGGACCUCCAUUUUAAGUGAUCCUUAUCCGAGAAGACUUGGUUCUACCAACUGAACCAUGGCAAGGACCAGCGCCGAUGUUAAGGUUUUAGCUACCGGCGCCCCUGCCUUACCGCUCGGAAACUCGACUAGCCUGUUACGUGAAGGCUUACAUUUGAAAUUCAUUUCGCAGAUAUUUGAUACAAUAUAUUGACACACAUGUCAUUAGUAUCACCCUUAAUGCAUAAAAGCGGGAAAGCCAACAUUCCUUUAGCAAAUAUUUUACUACCGAUCUUUGAACUAUAGUACUUUGUUAUAAAAUUGUCGUCGUUUAACGUGAAUUGUUGAUUUAUCUAUCAUUAAAUAGUAAGACUUACAUAGAUGCAUGCGGUGUGGACAUAUGCUUCUUGAAAAAGAAAUGUGAAGAUUGUGAUGAUCCGUGUCUGACAAACCUUAGUCCGUUUUCCAAAGAAAAUUGCGAGAAGUUGCCUGAAUCGUGCAAAAUCCUGAAAGAAGACGAACAAAGUUCUUGUCGCCGAAAAUGUAAAGAAGGGUUAAACGAUGCUGGCAUGUACUCUUGUGAUGGUUUGAAAAAGUUUGGCCUAUGUCAACAAACAUGUCGGCAGAAGUGUGAAGAUAGAAAUCAAAGUCCUACAAUGACAAAUCCAGGAAUGGAUGAUCCAACUUCACAGCCAAAAUAUCUUACUACUACUACUACUACUAGCUCAGACAGCUUUUCGA